rnacentral:rRNA from 1 species
GUGGACGCACUUCCCUCCGCCCUUGGACGCCGCAGCCCGUGGGAGUCGGUGAGCGCGUCUCUGCCUGGGGUGCGAGCGCCUAAUCGGGGCCGCGGAGAGCUGCGGGAGGCGGCUGGCGGUGAGUAGGUCGGUAACCCACCCGACCCGUCUUGAAACACGGACCAAGGAGUGCGAUGCGUGCGCGAGUCGCUGGGUCUUGCACAGGCCCGAAGGCGAAGAUAACUCGUGGCCGGGAUUCCCUGGACGCACCGGCGGCCCGGUCGGCGUCUGAGCGCACGCGUUGCGACCCGAAAGGUGGUGAACUAUGCUUGGGCAGGUCGAAGCCAGAGGAAACUCUGGUGGAGGACCGUAGCGGUUCUGACGUGCAAAUCGAUCGUCAGACUCGAGUAUAGGGGCGAUAGACCAAUCGAACCACCUAGUAGCUGGUUCCCUCCGAAGUUUCCCUC